UGAAUUAAGUGCCAUAAGUCACAGGAAGAUGUAUGUCACUUGCGGAGGCACGUGCAAUGUGUUUUCAUAUAUAAAUUGGGACACAUGGCUGUUUAUCCACUCAAGUGUCUCGCUGUGAAUGAGAAUAUCCACCAGGCUUUGUAGAAUAUGGAACCAAUAGAUGGAUUUCCAGUGAGCUCUUCAAAGAUGAGUCUCCCGUGGCUGCGAACUGAUCAUGUUAGAAAACAAGGCAGAAAUGCAGCGUGAGCUAUCCAAACAUAUGAGAGUUCCAUUAAUAAAAGAUGUGCACUCUGAAGCAAUCACAGUCAUGCUGAUCCUCAGGCAGCCAUUGAUUCCAGCCAUCUCAAGUGGGGCAUAAUUAGUCUUGUGAAUUAAAUAUGAAAUAGUAGUACGUCAUUGAGAGCUCCUCUGAAGAUAACCUCCAUCCCUCCUGAUCUCCUUCACUUUGCCCCAGUCACUGCCAUACUUAAACAGCAUGUUCCCUUGUCUCGGUCACUAUACCCACUCUCUUUGUGUCUUUUGUGGGUUGCUGUCUCCAAAAGCACCCUCAGCAGGCUUGCCCAGUUCCCCACCAUGCAGCAACCACAUCUGUCAGAGAGGCUCCACGGGGCUCAGCAUCCACCUGCAGAGUUCUGCCUCCUCCUCCCCUGUCAGUCAGUCAUCAGUAUUCUCUCUUCAUCUCUUCCUUGCAUGCUCUGUCGUUCCCCCUCUUUCACUUCUCCUCAGCCGUGGCAUAAAUUGAGCCGCACUGAGGCAUUCCUCUGACAGAUAUGGUGCAAUCUGCCUUCUGGUGCAGAACAUCCCCUCUUUAUCUGAAAUGUAUUGACAUGCGGAGCAGCACGCAGACAACAUGCAUGACAACUGUCGAAUCAUUUGACAUUGUUCAGUUAGUGAUGCUUUGUUAAACAUACAACACAAAGAACCAUUUUGACACUAUCUGACUUGUGCUGGGAAACCUGUUAAAUAAUCAUGUCUUUCAUGGCAAAAAUCAGUUAUCAUGUUAACAAUAAUGGAUAAUUGUAUCUGAAUAGCGUUUGAAUAAAAUGAGUAGCGGUAUUAAAUUUCUUUUUGUGCCUUGUGUUCUGGGCUUAUAUAUAUAUAUAUAGGGGGAGACCGUGUAUAGUUGUAACACUUUUUGUUUCACAUCUGUAACUCGCUGAAUUUUUUAGCUAGAGUGCUCAAACUUUUAUACAGAGUACCCACAUUUGUUCACUACAAAAGGCACCAAUUCAAACCUCUGCAAGUUUAUCACAGCCCUUAUAAGUUGAUGUCAAAUACAUGGAGUGCCUUCGUUAAAAUUUACCCCACUACCGGGGUAGGUUGUAACACAUACUGGGAAGAACUGUAACAGUCAGACAAAAGAAGCAAAAACAGCAGCCGCCUCACGAAGUUUGCUUCAAAAACAGGUUUACUGAAACAAGCUAAAAUAACUAUGCAAAACAAUGUCACACUUACGAUGAAUGACCACAGCUCAAAUCCACUUUCUGUUUGUGUGUGUGUAUAUGUGUGUAAAUUAGACUAGUAGAACAAACCUCCUUAAUGGUAUUAAUGCUUACUGAACACUCAACUGCAGUGUACCGAGGUAAAGAAUAUGUAGAUGUAACAAAAAACUGUAAAUUUGUGUGUAAGAUUGUGUCUAUGUAUGAAUUUUCUCAAUCAGAGUCACAAUGGUGACAAACCAAUGUUUUUAACCCUAGAGUGCAGACUUGGUGGAUUCAGAAACUGCACAGGGCACAUUUUUACCCACAUUUCCUUUGACUUUGAGCUGCCAAAAAGCUCCAUAUAGACAACAUGAAAGUUCUCAGUUCUAUGUAAGGGAAUGGUAAAAUGUGUUACAACUUACCCCACCCCGUCAUCCAAUGUUUAGUUAGCUAUAUUAGCAUUAUGGUUUGAAAUUAGUGGUUUAAAAAUGCAUCACAUUUUGCCUGAGAAUCUACAAUUUACUCUAAUGUAAGUUAUAUGAUUUUAAAUGCAACAAUUUAAGUACUAAGUAAAAUAUAGUUUUGGUCAAAAAAAAAAAAAAUUGUGCAUCAAAAUUAGUUUUUUCUUUAUAAAAUCUGCAUAUACCUACAGCACUGACAACCCUUCAUAUAAGAUAAGGGUGGAAGUGGGUAAAUAAUGAAAUUAUCAUAUGAAUAAUCCAGAGGUUCAAUGGAAGUUAAGGUCAAUGGACAGCAUAAUAUUGAUUAUUACAAAUAUCAUUUUGACUCAUUCCUUUUUUUUUAAGAAAACAAAGUGGAGGUGGGCACUUACAGUGGGUAUAGAAAAUAAUAACCCCCCCCGCCCCAACCAGCAGGUACAAGGUCACAAAUGAGAGCGAAUAAAUCCAAGUGUCAGGGAAGAGGUGAAUGAGGUGGUUGUAUGUGUGGGUGAUCAUAUUUAGCAGAGAGUGGGAUCAGGAGAGUGUGGGCGGAAGUGACAAGAGAGGAGAGAAAGUGACAAGGGAAGUAUGAGGGAUUGGCAUUGCCAACGAGAGCUGAAAGCCAAUCGGUGUGAGGUGAAUCAUAGUGAACAAAACUACACGACGACAGGCUGCAUGUUGGGCAAACACGCACGCCAUUCUCAAUUUUCAUUCUGUGUAUGCCUAGUUGCUGCUUAACUCUAUUUUACAUUCAGAAAAUCCGGAUAUGAGACAUAUCUUUACUGCUGAAUAAGGGAAUACUGGAUUUGACUUCUGGUUGCAAUGACAAAUCAGGAUGCCCAGGGCGACAGAAACAAGAAAUCAUUUAACAAUCUGGUUUUGAAAGCUCCUAAAAAAUCAUUUUGUUGGUUUUAUUUAAUUUUUUUUUGUAAAAUAUAUUUAAUUUAGAAGUUGCCUAUAUACAGUAUGAAUGAGUUAUUUACAAAUUCAAAAAUGGUUUUCAACAUUGCACUACACACUGACUUUCAUUUGGCAGACAAAAGUUCUUUUCUUUUUCUUUUCUUCUUUUUCCCCUCUUUUCAAUACUUAAAUGCUUAAAGGUUUACGAAAUAAUAAUAAAUUAUCCCCACCCACUGUAUACUAAAUUCAGAACAUUUUUUCCAAUAGUUGGAGAACCUUAAUAAAAAGACGUUCUUUCUUUUUUCUUUUUGCAAUCUCUAUACAGAUACACUACUUAGACAUGUUUUACUUUAAGUAAACAUAUCAACAAAACAUAUCAAAAUUAAAUUUAGUUCUUAUGUACUGAUUCACUAUACAGAUACACUGCUGUAUAACCUGCAUUGGACAACUGUUCAGGAGACUGAUAUUAAACUACUACUGUAGUUCACCCAAAGUUUUUUUUUUUUUUUAAUUUUCACCCUCAUGCCAUUCCAAACUAGUUGUUUUUUUUUCUUUAGUGGGACAUAAAAGAAGAUAUUUUGAGAAAUGUCUGUUUUGUCCAUAUAUUGGAAGACAAAAGUCACCUAAAAUGUUUAGUUACCAGUAUUCUUCAAAAUAAAUUUCUUGUAUUUCACAGAAGAAAGAAAUCAUAGGUUUGGACCGACACAAGGGUGAGUGAUUGAUUACAGAAUGUUCAUUUUCAAGGUGAACAAUCCCUUUAAGAAAUGGUAUUUUCCGCCCAGAUGGCUUAAUCUCACUAUGUUAGCGCUGCGAUUCGUGAAUAAUUGAAAUAUAAAGAAUUUUCUCCGUAUCAUCUUUGGACCCGAGUCGUGAAGGUCUUUACGCAUUUUCUGUGUGACCCUCUCUAUCCAGCGCGCGCAGCCCGUUGACUGCAUGUCCUCGGUGACGUCAUACAGCACGUCCGAACGCGUUGCUGCUGAUGUUUUUCAAUGAAUGAGAUCCCCCUCCCAUCCGCAUUACUAUCACUACAGGCUGUCUAUAAAUUGCGAACGAUGGGAGAACCUGUUAAAUUUCACAAGAGUGAGUGGAUACAUCCAGCGCAAGACGUUACACUUGCCAUUCAACAUAAUUUCUCAUCAGCAGACAAGAAUUAUGCACUGAUACCAGCUGAGAAGUUUCUUGAGUUGAAUUUGGACUGCUUUAAUACGAGGCUCAGAAAAAACAAGACAUAAUAGUAAAUACAUGGAAAUAAUACAACGCGUCCAAGGUCAGUGCAUCAAUACCUUGGCUCUAGACUGCUUACUGCUAAAUGUGCGUGAAAGUACAGUAACAGUCUACAGUCAUGGCUACUGACGUCUGGCAACCAUCCACAGACUAUUCAACUGCUGAAAGAAUACAGAGAACCUUGUAAAGUCCACAUGGGCCUGGUUAGUACAGCUUUAAGAGCGCUGAGCAGGAAUCUGUGUCAUCUACCCUGGAAACCCCUGUGCUGAAUAUGUGGGCUGUGUCGUAGCCGGCCAGCCAAUCAGGUUAGCUCGUCUACAGUUUCCACUGCAAACCCUUCUUUCCUCUCUUGCUGUCUCCAUGGCGACCGUGGCAUUAGAUUGUUACUGUAGCAACAGUACUUCUGGUAACAGUCUACAGCCAUGGUCGCUAUGGGACAGAAACUUCAGCAUCUCACUCAUCCAUUCUCUAAAUGUUUUAUAAGCCACAAAUCGUCUCAGUCUUGAUACAAAUGUAUUAUUUUUAAUUGAAGUUAUUUCUUUUUCUGUAUUUUUUUCUGAAUUCUGUAUUUUAUUUUAUUAUCAUUCUUAUUUUUUUAAAUGUAUUUUAUUAGUGCAUUACUAAAUUCACACCAGGGUAAUUUUUGCAUUAUUUAUUUAUUUAAUACUACAUAUAGAUAUAGAUAUAUUUUAGAUAUAUUUUAAAUUAACUAGCAUUGAUCAAUGGAAAUGUCUCUUUUGAUGAAUUUUUUUUUUUUUUUUUGGUGAUAUGAAAGUACUUAUUUCUGAGUGCAUAUUAAGUAGUACCCCAUUCUUGGUCCUCACUAUCAUGUAAUGUCAUAUUGCAUUAUGCUAUUUGUAUUAAUUUGCAAUUUGUAUUAAUUACUUUAAAUUCCAUCACUUAAUAAAAAUCUGUUGAAUUAUAUUUUUCAGGCCUUUGGCAUUCUAUUUUCAUCAUACUUAGGAAUGCCCUAAAUUUAAUUUUACAUAUUAAUUAGGAUGGGUAGUGUGAGAAUUGGGACACAGCCAGAGUAAUCACUUGAGCUUUCAUCUUCUGCCUGUGCUAUAUUUUGCUGUAUAUUUAGCUACAGUAAAAUAUAUGUUAACUCAAAUGCCAAACAUUAACUCCUUAGAUCUGGAGUCAUAUUUUUAUGUUAAGUUCUGGCAACCACAGCACACAUUUAUUUACUAUGAAUUUAGAUCUUUAGAGUAUCUAAAUAAAAUACUACUUGUUUGUCAGUUGUUAAAUGAAAAAAAAAGUGCAAGAGUAAAUUAGACUCUGGUCCUGAAGGGAGACUGUCCUGCAUCAAACACAUUUCAGCAAUCUAAUCAAAGAUGACAGAAAACAAAACAAAACAAAAACAGACAGGUGUGUUUGUUUAGGGCUAGAAGUAAAAUCUGUGGGACAGUGGCCUUCCAGGAGCACAGUUGAGUUGCCUGGUCCAGUGUUGGUCAGAGAUUAUGGAAAUAACUAUAUGAAGCAUUGAGAUUAGUUUAAAUCAGGCCAAUUAUCAGACCUCUACCUCUACUAAAACAAUAUUACAAUGACUUGGAUUAUUAAACAAUAUUACAUACUGUAUAUCGGGCUCUUACAUAUUAUAUUAAUAUUGGCCAUAACCACGUUAUCUGAAUAUUUAUUGUCUAUUCUCUUUUUCAUAUGAACAAUGUAUAUAAUAUUCGUAAUGCAAGUGAAUUGUUUAUAUGUUUUUGUAAAAACUAUAGUGCAAUGUAUAAAAUACAUGGUUAUAAUAAAUAAAGUAUUUUCAUCAAGUAAUUUCUCUUUUGUUAAUGAAAUUUUAAGUGAUUAAUUUGUACACGUAGGUAAGUGGUAUAUAAAUCAUAAUGACUUCCUGUGAAGCAAAUGUCAAAAUGAUGCCCAGAACACACACACACAGACACACACAUGCUGUUUACUGAGACUUUCCGUAGACGUACAUUUUUUUUUUAUUUUUUAUAUUGAGCUAAUCAAAUAUUCUACCCCCUAAACAUAGCCUGCAUAGAGGUAGCAAUUUUUUGAACACUGUUUAGUAUGUUUUUGAAGCCAUUUGGUUUAUGACAACACAAUUGUUUGUGUGUGUGUAUACAAGCACCCACACAAACACACAUUCACAUGCACACAAAACCGUGAGUUGUUUUUGAAUGUGUUUUAAUAAUAAAUGUGAAUCAUCUUACAAAAUUCUUUCUGGGAAAGGGGACAUUAAAUAGCAUUUCAGUAAUACUAAAAAAUAAGUAUUUUGGUCUA
ensembl:lncRNA